UAUGACAAACCUGCAGCUAACUGAGUUUGUCUUCAGUUGAAAAAUUAUCUUUUAAAUUGACGGAAAUCAUAUUUGUAAUCUGUGGCUCAAUUCAAAUGGGAUCAAAAAGUUAUUUGCCUCUCCCCGUUCACUAUCGCUCCCAUGUUUUCAUAAUAUAGUUCCCA